rnacentral:rRNA from 1 species
AGUGAACGCUGGCGGUAGGCCUAACACAUGCAAGUCGAACGGCAGCACAGUAAGAGCUUGCUCUUACGGGUGGCGAGUGGCGGACGGGUGAGGAAUACAUCGGAAUCUACUUUUUCGUGGGGAUAACGUAGGGAAACUUACGCUAAUACCGCAUACGACCUACGGGUGAAAGCCGGGGAUCUUCGGACCUUGCGCGAUUGAAUGAGCCGAUGUCGGAUUAGCUAGUUGGCGGGGUAAAGGCCCACCAAGGCGACGAUCCGUAGCUGGUCUGAGAGGAUGAUCAGCCACACUGGAACUGAGACACGGUCCAGACUCCUACGGGAGGCAGCAGUGGGGAAUAUUGGACAAAGGGCGCAAGCCUGAUCCAGCCAUACCGCGUGGGUGAAGAAGGCCUUCGGGUUGUAAAGCCCUUUUGUUGGGAAAGAAAAGCAGCAGGUUAAUACCCCGCUGUUCUGACGGUACCCAAAGAAUAAGCACCGGCUAACUUCGUG